CAGCAGCCACGGUAAUACGAAGGGUGCAAGCGUUAAUCGGAAUUACUGGGCGUAAAGCGUGCGUAGGCGGUUUGUUAAGUCUGCUGUGAAAUCCCCGGGCUCAACCUGGGAAUGGCAGUGGAUACUGGCAAGCUAGAGUGUGUCAGAGGAUGGUGGAAUUCCCGGUGUAGCGGUGAAAUGCGUAGAGAUCGGGAGGAACAUCAGUGGCGAAGGCGGCCAUCUGGGACAACACUGACGCUGAGGCACGAAAGCGUGGGGAGCAAACAGGAUUAGAUACCCCGGUAGUCCCUGUCUCUUAUAC
rnacentral:rRNA from 1 species